rnacentral:rRNA from 1 species
UACGUAGGGUGCGAGCGUUAAUCGGAAUUACUGGGCGUAAAGCGUGCGCAGGCGGUUGGGUAAGACAGAUGUGAAAUCCCCGGGCUCAACCUGGGAACUGCAUUUGUGACUGCACAGCUGGAGUGCGGCAGAGGGGGAUGGAAUUCCGCGUGUAGCAGUGAAAUGCGUAGAUAUGCGGAGGAACACCGAUGGCGAAGGCAAUCCCCUGGGCCUGCACUGACGCUCAUGCACGAAAGCGUGGGGAGCAAACAGG